UGUUUAUCAUGGGUUACCUUUCCCUGACCAGGUCUUCUCACCACUGAGAGGGUGGAGGGCCUGGUUUAUGUUUCUGUCUAAUUUAGGACAGAAGAUGGGGGAACAACAAAUCAACAUUUCGACCUACAGAUGGGAAAAAUGCGGUGAAUGCUGACAACUGGUGGGUGGAGAGAGGAAGCUGAGAAGCGCUCGAGAUGUCACUUCACACCCCACCUGCUGAUGUCUGCGCGUUGUUGAUGUACGAGCAGUGGGCAUUGGAUACGCGGUGCUCUGAGCGAUGACAAAUGCGGCGGAAUAGUGCUUCUGAUGGCUUCAAGAGGCCAUUUUGUAAUAAGCUUAGCGUUUCACCCUCAGAGAGCACAGGGUGGUUUGUGCAGAGAACUGAUGUCAUAAAGUCAAGGCCAGAGACUCCUGGGAGCCACACUUUGAAAGGAAGGCCCCACGGAGGCCCUGAUCAGGAGAGUGACCUGUGCAAUGUUGUGGCGUCUUUGUCGAAACCAUCUGCAUCCAAUUUGGCAGUAGUAAACGCAGUCUCAGAACAUAUACAUGUCAAAGACAGCGCGUCAGCGGGACGUUCCUCGGUCCCUCACUGAGGAGCCAGGGAGAGCACUUUCAGGAUGAUGUGCCUCUGCUCAGCAUUUUAUUAAGAGGAAAUUGUGGGAGUUGAAAUGUUCAGCAGGUGGCAACUGCAGAGAGGUUAUUUGUUCGCUUGUUUCUGUUUUUGACUGAAUGAGGAUAAAAGCGUUGUUGAAAAACGAGCUGGUCUUCCUUAUGCGCAAGGAUUCGUGGAGAGAAGGGAGAAGUCACGGAAUGAAAAAUACCCCAAAAGGGGAAGAACGCCCUGCCUAGGUUUGAAAUGAGCUGGCGCACCCCAGGAAGAUGUUGAUGAGUAAAACACUCACGUGCUGUACCUGUGUCCGUACCACAAGAGACAUCACAGAGCUCCCCACCCACUGCAGAGAAGACUCCAUUGGGGAUGGCCACAGGGAGGCGCCUGCAAAGAGAGUGCCCACUAGCAGCAAACCCGCUGGGACAGGAUCUUGGACUUGCUUCCUGCUUCCUUGCUUCCUUUCUAUCGUUAAAGUCACCUGGUAUAUGGUGUUUUCUUCUGCCUGAGUGAACAAGGGAGCCUUCAAGGCUGAACAAAUCCCAAGAUUUCAUAUGAAGCAAAUGGCAACAGUUACUCUUCUAUUGCCACUGCGGCCAGAAAUGUGACAGCCUGUGUGGGAGAGAACUCACAGCCACCUGACCUGCUGAAGACUUGUUCAGGGAACUCGGAAAGAACUGCAAUGGUUCUGUUGUUUCCUUAGGCAGAGGAGUGUGCGCGCACACACGGGAGGCAUCUACUUACACUGAUGCCUCAUGUCAUUAGUUGUAGAGAUGCACAGUUUCAUGCUUUUAGACUUCAUUUAUAAAUCACAUCAAAGUACUUAACAGGAACGUGUGGUUUAAAAAAUACUCCUCCUCAAAUGGAAACAUGCAGACACAUACCAUUUGGCUCCCAGUUUGACAAAUCACAUGAUUCUCCAGGUGAACAAGAAUUGAAUGAGACUCAGAGGAGGCCAGAGUCCACAGGAGGGUCGCGUUGACUCUCACACGCUGCACAGGCCUGUCUUCACGUUGAGAUCUGACACAGCGCACCACGGAGCAGGGGUCCAGGUGCUGGCCAGAUCCGCCUCGCCGGGCUCUUUGGAUCACACACUCCAACCUCCUUCCCUGGAGGGCAGCUUGCAAAUGGAAGUCGGGAGCAGCACUCUGGGGCCAGACAGAAGUACCGCUUGCCAGCUGAUGCCCUCCCCUGGCUGGAUUCCGUGAGGACGUCUCCACCGCAGGUCUCAAGCACAUUUGAGGUCUCCUUUCUCCCAUCUGUGUCCUAAAUCCAAGGAGUGAACAAGAGCAACCUAGUGGAGCAAUUAAAUGAGCACCAGCUUUAGGAAAUUCUUAUGGCUGUCACAUUUUGGUGAUUCCAUCUGAUACGACUUUUGUCUUAAAAUGUCAGAUUUGCUUUGAUGUCCAAUGGAUAGGCAACCCUCUGGUGAAGACUUAAUGAUUUAUGUACACUAAAAAAUGUAACAUAAGGGUGUGCGUGAUAACUUUGUAAAAUGAGAAUUUCUUCCAUAAUAUGAAUAAUUUAUUUCUCAAAUUAUUUGCUAAAAAGAUGGGGAACACAGGCAGGAAGUUGUGUUAUUACCUUCUGAACCUGUGAAUCUCUUGUGUGGAUUUGAUCCAAUAAGUAGGCAAGUGCUUCUCAGAGGACUUUCGUGACCGCACAGAAAUUUGACUUGAAUAUCAUUGCAAACUGUAAGAAACUGCAUGAAAAAGAAUGUGUGCAUUUAAGAUCUUAAAAACCAGAUUUUCACAUAGUGGAAAAGACUGACGUAUUAAUGUGCUUUCACUGAUUUAACUUCAUAAGUUGUCUUAUAAAACCUUAUAAAAUUACUAUAUGCUAAAUUUCACAAGAAAUUCUACUGGGAGAACAGAUUGGAAAUCGUUAAUUUGAAGUUUAACAUCAAAGACAAAGAGCAAGUCUUCUGUAAGUAGCAUAGCGCCUCUAGGUUUCUAGGAUGUCCCCCCCUUGCCUCCCUCUGCCCUACCCACCUCUCGACUGGCUGCCCCACUGCGUGGUGCAGGUGUUUUGGAAGAACCACGAACAAGGGCCACGGGGCCUGCCCGAGCUGGCGGGAAGGCUUCCUUCCCUCGGCAGAGCAUCCUGUUCUCCUCUUCCCCAGCACUCGCUGCCCAAUGUGGGACUCUGUGCUCAUGUAGCAGCUCUCAAACAUGAAACCGAUUUCGGAAAACACAUUGUUUAUUUAACUUAACCAUGGCACUCCACAAGCAUUAGAAUAAAAACUGGCCUGGCUUUGGAAAGACCGAGCCAACAGGAAGGCUUCUGCUGCUCCCGGAGCUCAAGUGGAACUGCCUCACCAGUAGGUCAGGCUGUGCCUGGAGGCCGGUGUCUGGGACGAGGAGCUGAGGGUGGCCUAGUGCCUUUAAAGUCACCACCUUCUUCCUCGGGGGGCGCUGCCUUGAAGGAAGCAUCCAAAUCCUUGAAAGAAGCAUCUCACUCAGAACUGGAGGCUGUGCUUCUCUUCCCCCACGGCUACACCGUGAAGGUGAGGGCAGUUCCCUGACAUCAGUUUACUCACAUGAAGACGUGAGAUUUCUUCCCCUGGAAGAAUUACCCUAAGAGAGAGACCCUUUGGAGACAGAUUGCAUCGCUGCGCUGACGGAGCGCAGCUUUACAGCAGGAAAGGUUAGGCCAGUGAGAAGAGUCCCUCCAGCUGCUGCAUGUGCUUCUCCACUCUGGUGACUUCAGAACCCGAGAAUGUCCUUAAAGUCUGCUUUGGAAAUCUUUUCCUUUUGAAUCCUCUUAGCAACCGUCAUUUAUUACUGUCUGUCUUUACAGUGGUGGAAACACACAUCCAGCAGAGAGGCGAGCGAGACGCGAAAUGCGCUUCCGUCCUUAGGUCCUUAGGCUGAAAUCGCUUGAGACUCAGAGUCGGGGCUGGAGAAGGGGCACGGGCAGAGGCUGAGGGAAGGAGGGCGCCUCGCCAGGCUUCCGUGGAGGGAUGAAGGCAACCCUAGUCUGCCUGUUCUUGCCGUUGCGAGUUGUUCAGUGAGAAGCUCGGGGGACUGGACUGAACGUCGGUGGGAGCCGGCUGGGGGAGAACAGUCUCACGGGGACAAGGGGCCACGGUGAGGGACCCGGGUUCUCGUCACCAGGGUCUCAGGUGCAAACCUAAGUUGCUGGAGAGAAUACAGAUAUCCCCGGGUUGGGGACGGUGAUCUGGGAAAAGGGAAACGCCUGGGGUGGGAGUUUCAUCUUCCUGCUCUCUACACUGCUUCUAGGCAAGAGGAGACUGGGCAGGUCUUCCUGGGCAGG